ACGGGAGGCAGCAGUGGGGAAUAUUGCGCAAUGGGCGGAAGCCUGACGCAGCGACGCCGCGUGGGGGAUGACGGCCUUCGGGUUGUAAACCUCUUUCAGCAGGGACGAAGUUGACGUGUACCUGCAGAAGAAGCGCCGGCUAACUACGUGCCAGCAGCCGCGGUAAUACGUAGGGCGCAAGCGUUGUCCGGAAUUAUUGGGCGUAAAGAGCUCGUAGGUGGCUGGUCGCGUCUGCCGUGAAAGCCCGCAGCUUAACUGCGGGUCUGCGGUGGAUACGGGCCGGCUAGAGGUAGGCAGGGGCAAGUGGAAUUCCUGGUGUAGCGGUGAAAUGCGCAGAUAUCAGGAGGAACACCGGUGGCGAAGGCGGCUUGCUGGGCCUUACCUGACGCUGAGGAGCGAAAGCGUGGGGAGCGAACAGGAUUAGAUACCCUGGUA
rnacentral:rRNA from 1 species